AGGGAGGAAUUAAAAAUACGCUUCCCAGCGGGUGGACGGCCACGGACGGCCGAGCAGCCUUGUUUCGAGCUUGUUACAUUGAGCUUCGAAAUCUGGCAGUGGUAAGAAAAGGAAAAGCCUAGGAAUUUGCCAUUUAGCUUUGUGUAUAUUCGAUAAUAUCGGAGCUGUGUGUCUUAUAUCUGUUUCCGAAAUGUCAACAUCUGUAGUAAACCCAAAGCCUUUUUUGACCAGUAUGACUGGGAAACGCGUCUGUGUUAAGUUGAAGUGGGGAAUGGAAUAUAUUGGAAUCCUUGUGUCAACAGACCAACACAUGAAUCUCGAGUUGGAUGAUUGCAUCGAAAUACUCGAGGACCAAACUAUUAGCAGGAUUGGAGAAAUAAGUAUUCGUUGCAACAACGUGGUUUAUGUAAGAAGAGCAGAUGAAGAACAAAAAGACGAGGAAUGACUUUCUCUCGAGCAUUUACUACAUUUACCAAACGGACAUUUUUAUGUUUAGCAUAUUGGGACGCAUUCUAGCAUUUGCAUUCAUUUUGAUUCAUUUUGUAUUUUCAAAAAUAUAAUACAUUUUUAAAAACAC